rnacentral:rRNA from 1 species
UACGAAGGGGACUAGCGUUGUUCGGAAUUACUGGGCGUAAAGCGCACGUAGGCGGAUUUGUUAGUCAGGGGUGAAAUCCCGGGGCUCAACCUCGGAACUGCCUUUGAUACUGCAAAUCUCGAGUCCGAUAGAGGUGGGUGGAAUUCCUAGUGUAGAGGUGAAAUUCGUAGAUAUUAGGAAGAACACCGGUGGCGAAGGCGGCCCACUGGAUCGGUACUGACGCUGAGGUGCGAAAGCGUGGGGAGCGAACCGG